AACGAACGCUGGCGGCAUGCCUAACACAUGCAAGUCGAACGAGACCUUCGGGUCUAGUGGCGCACGGGUGCGUAACGCGUGGGAACCUGCCCUUAGGUUCGGAAUAACUCCCCGAAAGGGGUGCUAAUACCGGAUAAUUUCUUCUGACCAAAGAUUUAUCGCCUUUGGAUGGGCCCGCGUUGGUUUAGCUUGUUGGUAUGGUAAAAGCCUACCACGGCGACGAUCCAUAGCUGGUCUGAGAGGAUGAUCAGCCACACUGGGGCUGAGACGCGGCCCAGACUACUACGGGAGGCAGCAGUGGGGAAUAUUGGAAAAUGGGCGAAAGGCUGAUCCAGCAAGGCCGCGUGAGUGAUGAAGGCCUUAGGGUUGUAAAGCUCUUUUACCCGGGAUGAUAAUGACAGUACCGGGAGAAUAAGCUCCGGCUAACUCCGUG
rnacentral:rRNA from 1 species